UAGUACUGCAAUGUAUACAUUGCAGUUUCUCAGUAACUGCAAUAUUUUACAUUGCAGGACUA
rnacentral:miRNA from 1 species